rnacentral:rRNA from 1 species
GAGUUUGAUCCUGGCUCAGGAUGAACGCUGGCGGCGCGCCUAACACAUGCAAGUCGAACGGAGCUGAGAGAAGCUUGCUUUUCUUAGCUUAGUGGCGAACGGGUGAGUAACGCGUGAGUAACCUGCCCUGGAGUGGGGGACAACAGUUGGAAACGACUGCUAAUACCGCAUAAGCCCACGAUCCGGCAUCGGAUUGAGGGAAAAGGAUUUAUUCGCUUCAGGAUGGACUCGCGUCCAAUUAGCUAGUUGGUGAGGUAACGGCCCACCAAGGCGACGAUUGGUAGCCGGACUGAGAGGUUGAACGGCCACAUUGGGACUGAGACACGGCCCAGACUCCUACGGGAGGCAGCAGUGGGGGAUAUUGCACAAUGGGGGAAACCCUGAUGCAGCGACGCCGCGUGGAGGAAGAAGGUUUUCGGAUUGUAAACUCCUGUCGUUAGGGACGAUAAUGACGGUACCUAACAAGAAAGCACCGGCUAACUACGUGCCAGCAGCCGCGGUAAUAC